CCCAGAUCCACAGCUGUGUGGCCCUCAAACAGCAAAAAGAACUGCUCCUGCCCAGGUCCACAGCUGUGUGGCCAUCAAACAGCAAAAAAACUGCUCCUGCCCAGGUCCACAGCUGUGUG